CGGCCGCGCCUUGUAAGCGCUAAGCCGGGAGGAGGGCGCAGGCAGGGCGCACAGCUCUGAGCGCGACCCUACCCGGCUCGGGCCCGCAGCAACCCCGACUGUCCGAGAGCCUCUCCCCAAGCAAGGCUCUGCGCCGCCCUCUGAGCCCACCUCCUGGCCACAACGCUGCCUGCGCUUCUCCAGCCCAGGCCGGAAGCCCUAUGCUGCCUCCCGAAGCCGGACUUUCUGGAAGCCCAUCUUCGUAUGCUCACCAGCCCACCCUCCUACGCUGGUCAGAGUGAGAUUGCUAACCUCAAGACCCCAUUCAAUGCCAGCUUUCAACUACUGCUGAAGACCAAUGUAGGUCCUGGAAUAGAAGAACUGCAGAGUAUCCCUAAGGUCUCCUCUUCAUCUGGCAUGUGUGUUCACAGAAGGUACAGUGUGCGAGAACACACUUAGGAAAUUUUAGGAACGCUAACCACAGUACUGGAGGAAUAAAGAUGUGUCGAAGGAAUGGAUGGAAUGCAUGAACACAUACACCUUGUUGUCCAGAUGCAGACAAAAGCUACCAUGUCCGCUUGGAGUGACGCCCAGACACGCACAGAGAUGUACAGGAAGCCAAGGAGAGUGGGAUCCACCAGAGUACAGUACAAGUACAGAGUACAGUGCAAGAUGCCCAGUGGCCCUGGAGAAAAACCUUCGUUGACUCUUCUGUAUGGAAAGUUUCUGAAGAAAGGGCCAAGGAAUGAUCUGCCCCAGAGGCUGCCUUUAGGCUCCCAUACCUGCUCUGUUUGGAGACACCCAGAAGAGGCCAGUACAGCAAAGACUCUUUUUGGUUUGGUUAUUUCUGUUGCUUGUUGUCUUUUUUUCAUCCUUUGCCUGGGAAAUUGUGCUCUGGAAUAGGGCUUGAGUAGACAGCACAGGCCUCCAGUAGAUAACAAGAGAUUCUCAAUCUCCAAUGAGGACAUUCCGUUCUAAGGAAGCUUCCAGAUAGGGGAAAGCCCUGUUUUGUCCCCCUUUUCUCCUCUGAGAUCUGAAAAAAUAGAAAGAAAAAAAAAGAAAAACAAAACAAAUAUAAAAACUAUAGCCCAAUCCCAUGUACAUCAAAUAAAUCCACAAGGAAUAUGCUAGAUCAAGCUAAAUUAUGUAUUUAACUCAUUUUCUUUUGUGAGAUACUGAGAAGUCUUCAACUUCCUCUAUUCCAGGCAGGGAUCGAGGACCUGGCCUGGCAGAGGUUCCACCACCAGGGUUUCCCACAGUGGUUCUGGGACUAGGCGUAAGGUGUCCUGACUUGUUUUCUCUGUCACCUCUUCUGGGGAACUGGGGAACUGUCCCAGACAAUGGCUGCCCCAGUUCCCUCUAGAAGAGACAGCCCCCACCCCCAGAACCCGUUGCCCUCCAACCUCACCUCAUUUUCUCUUGAGCUCAUUCUCCGAGCUCUUAAAGUAGUAGGUGUGAGUCUUGGACCAUUUCUUUAAAAGAAACAACUAAGGAAAGGGAGGGAGGGGAGGAGGGAGGAGGGGAGCGGGAAGGAGAGCUACCUCCUAGACUAACGCGUCCAGGAACCACUCUCUAAGGAGCAAAAGAGAGCCUGUGUUGUAAAGUAGAAGUGAUCCCCCGACAUUGCUGCAGGGCGCCUUGCAACAGAUGUAACUGUCCACUGAAGAGACAGAGGGUGGGCAUGGGGAAGAUUUUUUUUCCUCCCUUUUGUGAACAGCUCUUACACUUUUCCAAGACACAUUGAGUUCCUGGACAUUUUUGUGAAUUUGUUCUUGAUUGUGUUUUGAACAAUAAACUGUGAAAAUCAA
rnacentral:lncRNA from 1 species